UGAGGAAUAUUGGUCAGUGGGCGAGAGCCUGAACCAGCCAAGUCGCGUGAAGGAAGAAGGUACUUAGUAUUGUAAACUUCUUUUGCCGUGGAAACAAAAGUCUUCACGAGUGGAGAAAUGAGUGUAACCCGGAGAAAAAGCAUCGGCUAACUCCGUGCCAGCAGCCGCGGUAAUACGGAGGAUGCGAGCGUUAUCCGGAUUUAUUGGGUUUAAAGGGUGCGCAGGCGGACUGUCAAGUCAGCGGUAAAAUGUCGGGGCUCAACCCGGCCGGCCGUUGAAACUGGUAGGUCUGGAGUUGGUAGAGAAGUAUGCGGAAUUCGUGGUGUAGCGGUGAAAUGCAUAGAUAUCACGAAGAACUCCGAUUGCGAAGGCAGCAUACCGGCUCCAUACUGACGCUGAGGCACGAAAGCGUGGGGAUCGAACAGGAUUAGAUACC
rnacentral:rRNA from 1 species